rnacentral:ncRNA from 1 species
CCUUCUAUUCUAUAUAAUUAUUAGAAUAACAUAGAGUAGAAUAGAAGAAUCGGGUGAAUUGCACGAAUAUCUCUGCUUGCUGCUUGCUCCUUGGUUUUUAGCAUAAAGAGACAACUUGCAGCUAAGCUUACGUCAGUACAUCCUAUAUUAUUCUAAUACAUUGAAUGACAUAGGUUAGGACGUAAGAAAGUUCAAAGACUAAUUGGUGAUUUGUACUAAAUUAUCCAGACACGAGUGCCCGACUAGUAGUAUAAGCCGUACUACUAAAUGACAUAGUCUAAACUUACAUGUGAAUGUAAG